rnacentral:sRNA from 1 species
AUGGCUGUCGUCAGCUCGUGUCGUGAGAUGUUGGGUUAAGUCCCGCAACGAGCGCAACCCUUGUCCCUAGUUACCAGCACGUUAAGGUGGGAACUCUAGGGAGACCGCCGGUGAUAAACCGGAGGAAGGUGGGGACGACGUCAAGUCAUCAUGGCCCUUAUGGGCAGGGCUACACACGUGCUACAAUGGCGAAUACAGAGGGCCGCGAACCUGCAAAGGUAAGCUAAUCCCUUAAAGCUCGUCGUAGUCCGGAUCGGAGUCUGCAACUCGACUCCGUGAAGUCGGAAUCGCUAGUAAUCGCGAAUCAGAAUGUCGCGGUGAAUACGUUCCCGGGUCUUGUACACACCGCCCGUCACACCAUGGAAGUUGGUUGCACCAGAAGUAGGUAGCUUAACCCUCGGGAGGGCGCUUACCACGGUGUGGUCAAUGACUGGGGUGAAGUCGUAACAAGGUAGCCGUACGGGAACGUGCGGCUGGAUCACCUCCUUUAAAGAGUAAAAAAAGUCUUUAUAAAAAAGGAUGCAAGUACCCUCACAAGUUAUCUGAUUAACAGCACAGCCCUGGACAUUUGUCCGAGCUUCGCUCGAAGAGCUGCCAGGCAUCAAUAUGUUUUUGGGUCUGUAGCUCAGUUGGUUAGAGCGCAUCCCUGAUAAGGCUGAGGUCGGAAGUUCAAGUCUUCCCAGACCCACCAAAUUCAUUAGAGAUGUUUAAUGGCAAACCAGGGGGCCAUAGCUCAGCUGGGAGAGCGCCUGCCUUGCACGCAGGAGGUCGGCGGUUCGAUCCCGCCUGGCUCCACCAUUAAUCGAUGCUGCUGUUGAGAAUUUAUUACAGGCAAUAAGUAUAAUUAUUGUUUCUAAUAAGUUUUUUUGUUCUUUAACAAUUUGGAAAUUUCUGACGUCUUAUGUGGGUCAACAAUUUGUUGAUUCAACAUAAGUGUCGCAUUUGCACAUGUUGCAUGACAUAGUCCGAUUUGCACAAUUGGAUAAGUCUUGUCUAUUCUUUAUCAGCAACAAAAGGAGAUAAAGUUACAGCAAGGCAGCUCAAAGUUUUUUGGGUUAUAUGGUCAAGUGACUAAGCGCACAUGGUGGAUGCCUAGGCAGUAAGAGGCGAUGAAGGACGUAGUAAUCUGCGAUAAGCCCCGGCGAGCUGAUAAACAAGCUUUGACCCGAGGAUUUCCGAAUGGGGAAACCCGG